GCAGAGUAGGGAUCUGCGCGUAAGGACGGCGCGGUUUGGACGCGCCGCCGCAGUGCCUGACCAACGGGGAGUUGUGGCAGGACGAAGUUGCCGCUUGCGGCACGCGGUGCAGAUCCCGCAUCCCACUGC
rnacentral:ncRNA from 1 species